GUGAGGAAUUUUCCGCAAUGGGCGAAAGCCUGACGGAGCAAUUCCGCGUGAAGGAUGAAGGCCUAUGGGUUGUAAACUUCUUUUCUCAGAAAAGAAUUAUGACGGUAUCUGAGGAAUAAGCAUCGGCUAACUCUGUGCCAGCAGCCGCGGUAAGACAGAGGAUGCAAGCGUUAUCCGGAAUGAUUGGGCGUAAAGCGUCUGUAGGUUGUUUAAAAAGUAUUCUGUCAAAGAUUAGGGCUUAACCCUAGAUAGGCAGAAUAAACUUUUAAGCUAGAGUUUGGUAGAGGCAGAGGGAAUUCCCGGUGGAGCGGUGAAAUGCGUAGAUAUCGGGAGGAACACCAAAGGCGAAGGCACUCUGCUGGGCCAAUACUAACACUGAGAGACGAAAGCGAGGGGAGCAAAUGGGAUUAGAAACCCGAGUAGUCC
rnacentral:rRNA from 1 species